rnacentral:lncRNA from 1 species
AAUCAUCAAACUUUCAUUCUUUACAUUUCAAUCACCAUAUUAUUCCAACAAGGUUCCAUAGCAAUAUUAGAAAAUGGUCGCUUUAUAUAUUUAGACAUAGCAAUAACUAAUAACCUUGCAGCUGUAAUUUCAAGCCAAAGUGUAAGGCAGGUUAAUUAGACACUUCGGAGAAGCAUGAUGCAACCAUUGCUAAGGUUGACCAAGACAUUUCCUUUGCUUUCCGCAAAAAGCAAAAAUUUGCUUUCCGCAACAAGGCAACCCCUAAUUAGGACUUUCAAGAAACUAAGUUCACACUGGAUAAAAGAAGGAACAUUCAUGAGAUUUUCAACAUUCAUCGGACAAGGAAUACUUGAGGCAGAUAUGUAGUCUGUAAGCUUACACAUAUAAUAGGUGUUUGUCAAACUGUGCUUGGAGACCAAGAAUGAGUACUCUGAUUUUAAUCACAACAGAAGGCAGCAUCCUGUUUGCUACUUUCUCCUUCAUUUGAGUCUUCCACUUAGCCCUGCAAAUGAAAUGAAACUCGGGAUCAUCCACCAUUUCCAUCUUAUAUAAAGCACAAUAAAGGAUAAAUACAACAUCAACGUUCUAAUUUAUCAUACUUUCUGAUCAGAUCCAUGGUUCUGACUUUAUGCACUGAUCCUUUGUUCUUAUACCUGAAUGUUCACCUAGAUGCUAGACCCCUGGCCUUAAACCCUAAACCCCAGUACCUAGACCACACUACCUAGUACCUAAACCAGUUGAAAAAGCUCCAUAAUUUUCGCCAACCUGCAAUUAGAAAGCCAUGAAAAGAAGGAAGGAAGAGUUAUUUUUAUCAUAAAAAAGAAAUGAAAAGAAACAGCUACAUAUUCUCGCCAACUUGUGAAAAUCAAAUUAAAAUUAGUCCAAAACCAACCUUAGCAAUGAGACCCAUGAGACGAUGGUUGAGCAUGACCUAAAAACUCACCAAAACCGCUUAAAGAUAUAUCAAAUGGGAGCUCAAGGGUCCAAUGCCGGAAAAUGAGACACAAAUAGGAUAAUAUAGAGGUCAUCAAUAAAUUGACUCAAACUAGUGUAGCUUAUCAUGACUAAACAGCGACAUUUCAAUCAGGUCAUCAAGCAACGAGUCAUGAAGCAUCAAGCCCGACCACACAAUAAAAAAUCAAUGUUCCGCAAAGAAGUACAAGUGAAAUUCACGCAUAUCGUGCUAAUGAAAAUAAAACUUGCCAAUCGAGAAUACCAUUUCGUUUCCAUUAUCUUACCUUCGUGACACAAGAGGAAGUAGAAAACAUGGGGAAUUCUGGUCUGAGUAUUUUUUCCUGACUUGCAUGGAGGGGUGUUCACUCAUCCUCACCUUCUUUGUACUUGUGUUAGAGCGCACCAACUCAUCAUUUCACUUAGGUAAUGAACUUCCUAACACUUUUUUACACAACAUCCCUUGUUUUUUUCCCUCAAUGAAGGCGUGGUUAUCACCAAUGGUCAGGCAAGAUCUGAUUAAAGAUCCUUGUCCCAAACCCACACAGGGCAAACCCGAAAAAACCCUACAAACAGGGUCGCCCCGCGUGUGAGCCAUAACCACCUAAACCUUAAAGACUUUUUUGCUGGCUCAUUGUUUAGAAUUCCCCAUCCACUAGAACUUCAUAGCGCCUCAAAGGAGUUUUAACGGAAAAAUAAAAUGAUACUACUCACAUUGACAAGAUCCGAAUCCAUAAGAACGAUAUAUGAGAAUCUCAAAGUGCACUUAAGGAAGGAUAAAGGGAGAUGGUCAUGUUAGCAAAGAACGCAUAACAUUUGUGUCAACCAUAGUCGUCAUGAUAAUUCAAAGCAGUUUCAACCAGUUUAUGGCAUGACAACAACACGAUGCAGAUAAUAAGAACAAAGAUAACCAAGAGUAAGUAAGCAAGCAAGCAGGUCAGCAGUUAGAAAACCAACAUAGUAAAAAUAGGAAGAAUGUCAGUGACAGAGGCAAAUUACAAGGGAAAUAGGAAGAUAUCAACGAAAUUCCGGUUAAGGGGAAGCUAGCUAUAUACUCACAGAUCAUGGUUCGAGGACUGCAAAAACCUUAAAGAUCUCGUUCACAACACCGAUCUGGAACUUAGGAUUUGCAUUAGCAACAAAGGAGAGUUGGAAGUUUUCCUCUCAUCUGAUAGCCAUUGAGUCUUCUGAAAUUUGUUUAGAAAUGUCAGUCGCAGAUUUAGAAUUUGCCAUCUCCUUAAUUUGCUGCAAUUAAAACAACAAAUAAUUUCAUCACCAAAAUUAAUUUUACCGAAAAUUUAGUUGCCUCUUCCCAACUGCAUCUCCCAACUGCUUUUGUUAAUUUACCCCCUCUACAUUUGAAUAUAAAAAGGGAGCAGAUGAUUUGCUUAUCCCACUCACUUCUCAUCCCUGAAUUUUCUCUUCUUCCAUUCUCUGUACAUUUUUUUAUAGUGUAGUGUUGUCAUUUUCUUCAUUUGUUUAAUCGAGAGAUAUACUUUCUCAAUUGAGUAGAUAGAUGAUUGAUAGAAAGUUUUGGUAAAUAUUUUAUCGUAGUAGAAAUUUUUUUUGUGAGCGAUAAAAAUAGUAAGUAGUUGUUUCGAGAUUGGAAAAUACUUGGGAGAUAUUAUUUUUAGAUCGAUAUGGAUCGCCUUGUAGCUACCUUGUUUUAGUGAAGAAGUGCUCGUAGCUGUCUCUACUGCCGUAUAUGUACUCUCCGCAUUGGAGGGGAACUACAUAAAUGCCGAUGUUAUUUACCUACCAUUUUGUGUUGGACAAUUCAAGAAUAGUCGUUGUAUAUUGCAUUUUUAAUGUUACCACAGUAAAUUAGUCUAAGGAGAUUGGCUUAAUUAUUGACAUUAUGGUAUUGUGGUGGUUAUCACCCAUGCAUAAUGAUUUUAAGUGUGGCGAACUACCGUCACUUCCAACCUAACAAAAAGAUAUUUAUGAUGUGUGAUUUAUUAGUACAACAUAUUUAUUCCAUUCUCGUCUGCUGCCCCAACAACUAGAGCUAAUGUUCCCUCUUAGCGCCUACAAAAGAGUUUUACCAAUUUCACCACGGAAAUCACGAUCUCAACCCGCGAAAAAGAAAACCCCAAACGAUCGGAAAGUAAAACGAAAAUUAAAAAAAGAGGUAGAGAGAAUAGAAAAUUACCCAAACUCUAAGACCUACUUGAGCGACAACGUGAGAAGAAGUGGAAGAAGGCGUCGUCUAUGAGAAGUUCUAAAUUGCUCGAUGUGUG